AUCCGUGAAGCGCCACCA
rnacentral:miRNA from 1 species